CAGUUGGAACAAUUUUUUGCAAACAUUUACCAAAUUGAUAAAUACAUGUUGACAACGUCUUAUCAGACUGUUACAAAUUUACAUACAUAUUAUUACAACAUAUUAGAGACAUGGGAGGGUUUUACUUCUUUUCAAUAAAUGGUUGUUUAUUUACAAACUAGAAAAACACAAUUAUCCGAGUGACCCAGCGUAGUAAAGCUACUAACUAGUCCUUAGAACUGCAGAGCAAACUCAACAUACAAAUCAGAUCUUAUUUACUAAGGGAAAAAACAGUUUAAUAAGUGGUCUAUUGAUGUUUAUUCCACAUCACACAUCAUUCCACAUUCUGCUAUUUAGCUAUUGUAUAAAAAAUGAAUUUCUCACCCCACUUCAGAUUUGACAAACGAAAUGUUGCCGUCGGCAACAACAAUUUUCGAUAAGGUCGAUAAGAACGUCGCCAAAAGUUAUCGCGAAGGUUGCCAACUGUCGGUGAAACGAAGACGGCAGGAGGGCCAAAUAAUUCUAUUUAAUUGAGGUACCUAAAUGAAUUCUCCUGGCUUCAAAACAAGCAAUUGCAAAUAUAAAGAAAUUUUUCACGUUGUCUGUUGUUUCCACACUCUAUGGGACCUAUGGGAGAGAGAGAGGAAUGAAAAAGCAGGAAAGGGAACCGGCAGAACCGACCCCAUAUUUAGGACAAAGUAAUGGACAUGCGGGCUGGUUUAAAAUUUUAAACCGAACGAACCGCCGUUACGAGAGCAAAUAUACACGGGCGUGAAAAAAUCGUCGCGGGGCACAAAAAACGACGUGUGAUGCUCCUAGAGCUCCGGAGGUCGACGUGGAAAACCAGGACAGGAUAAGACUAGGCAGCCGGAAGAAGAAGGCAAUAUGAGGCAGAACCGCCUUUCAGUGGACGCGGGAUAACCUUUUGUAGCCAGGAUAAUUUCUUUUUGAACUGGGGAUUGUUUUUCUUAUCCGGAUACCCACGCCGCCCCUAACCAAACCCAAUACCGCAGCUAAACCAAGCCCAGCAAAUCGAUGCGGCAAUAUUAAUUUAUUAUUUAACAAAUACCUAUAUUUAUUAGCACACUUACAUACAUUUAUUUAUUUAUUUAUUGGCCCUAUUUACUUAUUGAUUUUACUUAUUGAUCAUAUUUAUUUAUUUAAUUUAUUUAUUUAUUUUGUUAUUUUUUCAAUGUCGGAGUGCUAAAUUAAUCUCGAAAUUCUGUGAUCAAUAUGUAUAUGUGUGUAAUUAUUUAUUUAUUUAUUAAAAUAACAAAAAUAACCAAAACCGGCGACGUAUUCGACUGCCGCGCCAGAUACAAUGAGCUGCGUCCGCGGGCGACCCUUUGUUAUUGCGAGCAGCGCAGCCGCCGGAUGGUGGGUUAACAACCGCUGACAUAGCUUGGCUCGUAUUUUGGACACUUGCCCAACAGCUAUGCAGGGUCGCCCAUCGCCCUGCCCUGGCUGCAAACGCCGCAUUUUGCAUGGAAGCAGGAGCCCUGGUGUCAGCCAACACCAACGCCUCGAGCUAUUUAAAUGAAAUUCUUUCUGUUAAAUAUCAAACCCAAGUUCCUUUAGUUAAAAUUAUAACGUGAAACGAA